rnacentral:rRNA from 1 species
GACGAACCGUGCGAACGUUGUUCGGAAUCACUGGGCUUAAAGGGCGCGUAGGUGGUUGCCAAGUCGGGGUUGAAAUCUUUCGGCUUAACCGGAAAGUGGACUUCGAUACUGGCAAGCUGGAGGGAGGUAGGGGCGGAGUGGAAACUUCCGGUGGAGCGGUGAAAGUGUGUUGAUAUCGGAAGGAAACGCCGGUGGCGAAAGCGAUCCGCUGGACCUCUUCUGAACAC